rnacentral:misc_RNA from 1 species
UCUCCGUAGGUGAACCUGCGGAGGGAUCAUUACUGAGUGAGGGCCUUCGGGCUCGACCUCCAACCCUUUGUGAACACAUCUUGUUGCUUCGGGGGCGACCCUGCCGUUUCGACGGCGAGCGCCCCCGAAGGUCUCCAAACACUGCAUCUUUGCGUCGGAGUUUAAAACAAAUUAAACAAAACUUUCAACAACGGAUCUCUUGGUUCUGGUAUCGAUGAAGAACGCGC